rnacentral:rRNA from 1 species
AGAGUUUGAUCCUGGCUCAGGAUGAACGCUGGCGGCGUGCUUAACACAUGCAAGUCGAACGAUGAAGCCGAAGCUUGCUUUGGUGGAUUAGUGGCGAACGGGUGAGUAACACGUGAGUAACCUGCCCCUGACUCUGGGAUAAGCCUGGGAAACUGGGUCUAAUACCGGAUAUGACUGCGGAACGCAUGUUCUGUGGUGGAAAGAUUUAUCGGUUGGGGAUGGACUCGCGGCCUAUCAGCUUGUUGGUGAGGUAAUGGCUCACCAAGGCGACGACGGGUAGCCGGCCUGAGAGGGUGACCGGCCACACUGGGACUGAGACACGGCCCAGACUCCUACGGGAGGCAGCAGUGGGGAAUAUUGCACAAUGGGCGAAAGCCUGAUGCAGCGACGCCGCGUGAGGGAUGACGGCCUUCGGGUUGUAAACCUCUUUCAGUAGGGAAGAAGCGAGAGUGACGGUACCUGCAGAAGAAGCGCCGGCUAACUACGUGCCAGCAGCCGCGGUAA